rnacentral:rRNA from 1 species
UACAGAGGCUCGAGCGUUAUGGCGGAAUCACUGGGCUUAAAGCUGUGUGUAGGCGGGUCGUUAACGUGCCUUGUGAAAUCCCAUGGCUCAACCAUGGAACUGCUGGGCGAUACUGGCGAUCUUGUGCCACCUAGGGGCGAGCGGAACAGAUGGUGGAGCGGUGAAAUGCGUAGAUAUCAUCUGGAACGCCAAGUGGUGAAAACAGACUCGCUGGGGGUGUGACAGGACGCCUGAGACACGAAAGCCAGGGGAGCGAACGGG